GAUACGCCAUUUGUGGAACCGUGUAGUAAACAUUGUGAUACUAAAGUUAAUUUUAGUUUGGUGCCUUAAGUGAGCACUAAGUCCGACAUGUGAGAUUGGGAAGACCAGAAAUCGCGUGUGUGUCCUUGCAACGUGAACAUGAACUGGAAAAAAGGGCCUGUGUUUUUGCUGUUUUGUUGUUGCCCUGCCAUCCUCACAACAUCUCUUCAAUGUCCUGACCCAGCUGUGAAAGUCAUCUAGAGUCGUCUAAAGUCAUCGCAAGUCAUCCCGUUGAAUUCUUCAUUGCUACCUACUGGUCUAACAAGCAUGCCACCCCCUCCCGCUGCUCUGAGAAUGUUUUCAACUUUUGAUCCUGACACCUGCGUCUGCCUGGAAUUCCACUCCAGCUCCG